rnacentral:rRNA from 1 species
GACAUAGGUCGCAAACGUUGUCCGGAAUUAUUGGGCGUAAAGGAUGCGUAGAUGGUAGAGUAAGUUAUCAGUGGUAAAUCGAGGCUCAACCUCGCGGAAGUUGGUAAUACUGCUUUACUUGAGUACAUAAGAGGUUAACGGAACUCCAUGUGGAGCGGUGAAAUGCGUAGAUAUAUGGAAGAACACCAAAGGCGAAGGCAGUUAACUAUUAUGUUACUGACAUUGAGGCAUGAAAGCGUGGGGAGCAAAAAGG